rnacentral:rRNA from 1 species
AGCGAACGCUGGCGGCAGGCUUAACACAUGCAAGUCGAGCGGGCAUAGCAAUAUGUCAGCGGCAGACGGGCGAGUAACGCGUGGGAACGUACCUUUUGGUUCGGAACAAAACAGGGAAACUUGUGCUAAUACCGGAUAAGCCCUUACGGGGAAAGAUUUAUCGCCGAAAGAUCGGCCCGCGUCUGAUUAGCUAGUUGGUGAGGUAAUGGCUCACCAGGGCGACGAUCAGUAGCUGGUCUGAGAGGAUGAUCAGCCACAUUGGGACUGAGACACGGCCCAAACUCCUACGGGAGGCAGCAGUGGGGAAUAUUGGACAAUGGGCGCAAGCCUGAUCCAGCCAUGCCGCGUGAGUGAUGAAGGCCCUAGGGUUGUAAAGCUCUUUUGUGCGGGAAGAUAAUGACGGUACCGCAAGGAUAAGCCCCGGCUAACUUCGUGCCAGCAGCCGCGGUAA